rnacentral:rRNA from 1 species
GAUGAACGCUGGCGGCGUGCCUAAUACAUGCCAGUCGAGCGAACAGACGAGGAGCUUGCUCCUUCGACGUUAGCGGCGGACGGGUGAGUAACACGUAGGUAACCUACCUAUAAGACUGGGAUAACUUCGGGAAACCGGAGCUAAUACCGGAUAAUAUUUCGAACCGCAUGGUUCGAUAGUGAAAGAUGGCUUUGCUAUCACUUAUAGAUGGACCUGCGCCGUAUUAGCUAGUUGGUAAGGUAACGGCUUACCAAGGCAACGAUACGUAGCCGACCUGAGAGGGUGAUAGGCCACACUGGAACUGAGACACGGUCCAGACUCCUACGGGAGGCAGCAGUAGGGAAUCUUCCGCAAUGGGCGAAAGCCUGACGGAGCAACGCCGCGUGAGUGAUGAAGGUCUUCGGAUCGUAAAACUCUGUUAUUAGGGAAGAACAAACGUGUAAGUAACUGUGCACGUCUUGACGGUACCUAAUCAGAAAGCCACGGCUAACUACGU